CAACAGGGAUUGCCCCAGUAACGGCGAGUGAAGCGGCAACAGCUCAAAUUUGAAAUCUGGCCCCCUCCGCGGGGGUCCGAGUUGUAAUUUGMAGAGGAUGCUUCUGGCGCGGCGCCUUCCGAGUUCCCUGGAACGGGACGCCACAGAGGGUGAGAGCCCCGUCCGGUYGGACGCCAAGCCUAUGUGAAGCACCUUCGACGAGUCGGGUAGUUUGGGAAUGCURCCCUAAAUGGGAGGUAUAUGUCUUCUAAAGCUAAAUACCGGCCAGAGACCGAUAGCGCACAAGUAGAGUGAUCGAAAGAUGAAAAGCACUUUGAAAAGAGGGUUAAACAGUACGUGAAAUUGUUGAAAGGGAAGCGCUCAUGACCAGACUUGGGCCCGGGGGAUCACCCGGCGUUCUUUYGCCGGGGCACUUCGCCGGCUGCCCAGGCCAGCAUCAGUUCGCGGCGGGGGACAAAGGCUUYGGGAACGUGGCUCCCUWCGGGGAGUGUUAUAGCCCGCUGCGCAAUGCCCUGCCGCGGACUGAGGUUCGCGCUUCCGCAAGGAUGCUGGCGUAAUGGUCAUCAGCGACCCGUCUUGAAACACGGACCAAGGAGUCGUCUUCGUAUGCGAGUGUUCGGGUGUCAAACCCCUACGCGGAAUGAAAGUGAACGCAGGUGAGAGCUUCGGCGCAUCACCGACCGAUCCUGAUGUUCUCGGAUGGAUUUGAGUAAGAGCAUACGGGGCCGGACCCGAAAGAAGGUGAACUAUGCCUGUAUAGGGUGAAGCCAGAGGAAACUCUGGUGGAGGCUCGCAGCGGUUCUGACGUGCAAAUCGAUCGUCAAAUAUGGGCAUGGGGGCGAAAGACUAAUCGA
rnacentral:rRNA from 1 species